CACUCAUCUCCAAUCACCAUGGAAAAUGACAAAAUUCUUCUUGGUGACAUUAACUUGUUGGAGGAAUUUGAAAAAGAUGUUCAUGUCAGUUAAUAAUGUGUUUGAAGGUGGAAAAGUCAUAAGAGGUGAAAUAGAAUUUCCAAUUGGUAUUAACUAUGGCAUUAUUGUCUUAAUUAAAA